UAAGCAGCAGAGACAAGAAUGAGACGGUGGCUUCAGAAAAACUUCAGAAAACUGUAAAUCUGGUUGUAGGGCAGCUGGUUGGAUUGAUAAUGCUGCAGCCCUUAAACACAAAAUGCUAGAUUGGUAUAAAACCAUUCUGAUGUAAGAUGCAUCAGCCUAUGGGACUCCAAACAGCACAGAACUGGGUCAAGAAUGCUCCCGCCAGGAAAGCCAAUGCAAGGUGGUCUGUCCAGCUUUUAUUGCCACAGCUCUGUAUUGGUUACAGCUGCAAGGAAAGGAAACAUAUACCUGCCACUUGAAGUACCCAGAUGCAGGACAGACAUCUUGAGAGGACAUGCUCAAACAUUUCUGCCUAUUUUCAAGUGAGAAUGUUUACCUCUUGCAGUUCUGGAACUUCCAUGGCAUAUGAAGAAAAGAAACUGAAGACAAUGAGAUGAAGGAGGGAUUAUUCUCCUUUAACCAGGUUGUAACACAAACAUUCAGAAACUAUUUGGUACUUCCAUUGUCACAGGAACCACGUGACCACAGAUGAGAAUAACACAUUUCCAACCAAAUUCUGUAACAACAUUUUCUCAACUGCUAAAGGAGUAAUAAGCUGAUGGUAAAACAUGAAUCAUUUAGUCUAUAUAAAUACACGAUUAUAGCAUGGGUGCAUUGUGGAAAGCUAUGUCACAAGUGUAUGUAUACUGAAAGAUGAUGGAUAAUUUCACUGCAAUUAUUUGUUCUUUUUCAGAAGCCAUCUUAUCAUUUUCUGUAUUUUUCAUGAUUCUCAGCAGUGUAAAUAUUGUAAGUUUGUUCCAAAAUUAAAUGAUAGCCAGUGUCAUUAAACGUGUCCCUUUGUAUGCUAUUUUACAUUUGACAGUUCAUCACAGACAACUUAUACAUUUACCUCUGCAUAACCUUCACUGUGUCUUAUAAUAGUAUAUAUUUUUUUCAUUUACUCAGGUGAGAAAAAGAUAGCUUUUCUUUUUUAAGGAGUAGGGCACUUGUCACUGUUUCUAUCUGAGCAGAGCUAUAACACAAUUCACUUAAGAUAUAAAGACAAUGCUCUCUAUCAGCCUCAGGUCUCGUACCUACUCGUUACACAGCACAACAAAUAUACAAAUCCAGUAAAUUUAGAUACUUAAACCUGUUAUUACUAUUAUUUAAUGUGAUAAAUAUUUAGUAUAAGAUCCUAAGUAAU